CCUUCACAUAGUAAUCACUUGUUAAAUCGUUUCAGUAAUGUCUGACUCUUCAUGGUCCUGUGUGGAGUUUCUUUUGGCAAAGAUAAUAGAGUGGUUUACCAUUUCCUUCUCCCAAUCGUUUUACAAAUAAGGAACUGAGGCAAAAAUGGUUAAGUCAUUUGUCAAGGGUCUCAGCUAGUAAAGAGUCAGGCUGGAUUUGAAUUCAUGAAGAGUCUUCCUGAUUCUGAACCCAGUGCUGAACCCACCAUACCACCUACUUACUUAAGUGAUUAAGAAAUCACUUAGUAAACUGACUGACUGAAAGGAUAAGAGUUAAGAAUGACUAUGAGGUUCCAAAUCCGGCAUUGUUAAAGGAACUUGGAACACUCAAUAGCAAAAGGGAAGCAUCAGUAAGGGCUAAGUUAUGUGGGUUAACCUGGAUCAGAAAUAAUAAAUAAUAUUUUGGACAUAUUGAAUUGAAGAUGACUAUGGAACUUUAAUAGAUAGUUGAUGAUGUGAGGCUUUACUCAGGAGAAAGAUCAGAAUUUGAAGAGGAAGGCAUUGUUAUUACAAUGAUAAAUGAACUCAUUCUAGGUGGUUUUUAAACUGGGCUUGAAGUCAGAGAAACUAAUGAAAGAAGUGAAGGGAGAGAUUAUUCCAGGCAUGGAGAAGAGCCAGUACAAAGGAGAUUUUGACAUUUGGAAACAUCAGAGGGAUUAACAGAGUGAUAUGGAAGAAGAGUGCAGUGAGACCCAGAAAGAAGAAUUUAGUAUUUCAGAGAAGACAUAGUAGAGUAAAGUCAAAUGAAGAAAACUUGUCAUACCUUUCAUUUUAACUCUUUCUGGUCCAAUCUGCAUGUUACAUUCUCAUCAUAUUCUAAGCGACUUCGUGUAGCUGCACUUACAAGUGCUGCUUUCCCAGGGCCCCAAGACAGUUACCAUCAGUUUUGCCAAUCACACAUCCUGCAGAUGCAUGUCCAAAAUGGGUGUUUAGAGACAAGUUAAUUCAAUCAUUAGACAUUUCACACCAGCAACAUUGUCACAAGAUGAGAUAAUUACAAGGGAUUCAUGAUGACAAAGACUCUCCACCAUCACAGAAGGAAAUGAUGGAGUCUGAAUGAAGAUUAAAGUAUAACAUUCAUCAUUUUAUUUAACUGAGAAUUUUUUCUAGCAUAAGCAAUUUGUGUCUUCUUUCAUAUGACAAACAAGGAAAUAUUUAUUGUAUGAUAACAUGGGUACAAUCUAUAUUGCACUACCUGCUGUCUUGAGGAGUACAGAGAGAUGAAAGGAAGGGAGAGAAAAGAACAUGGAUUACAAAAUGUCAGAAAACUAACUAUUGUUGAAAAUUAUAUUUAUAUUAUGUGGAAAAGCUUAGUUAAUUAAUUUUAAAAUAAAUUUAUAAUGUUAUUCCUCA
rnacentral:lncRNA from 1 species